AUGGCGACGACAUCCUCGGGAGCUCCACACCUCCAUCCUCCAUGGCGCCUGUUUGAUGACGAAGAUGACGGGCGUUGUCCUGGCGAGCUGUGUAUCGCCAUCCUCCGUGACACGGCAGCGUCAUCCUCGCGAGCUCCACGCCUCGUCCUCCAUGGCACCGGUUUGAUGAAGAAGAUGAUGGGCAUCGUCCUAGCGAGCUCCGUGUCACCAUCCACUGCGGCAUGGCGGUGGCAUCCUCGCGAGCUCCGCUCCUCCAUCCUCCAUGGCAUUGGCUUGAUGAAGAAGACAACAAGCAUUUUCCUAGCGAUCUUCGCAUUGCCAUUCUCCCUAGCACACGACGGCAUCCUCGCGAGCUCCGCUGCUCCGUACUCCGUGGCACCGGCUUGA
rnacentral:rRNA from 1 species